CAGUAGCCGCGGUAAUACGUAGGUGGCAAGCGUUGUCCGGAAUUAUUGGGCGUAAAGGGCUCGCAGGCGGUUUCUUAAGUCUGAAGUGAAAGCCCCCGGCUCAACCGGGGAGGGUCAUUGGAAACUGGGAAACUUGAGUGCAGAAGAGGAGAGUGGAAUUCCACGUGUAGCGGUGAAAUGCGUAGAGAUGUGGAGGAACACCAGUGGCGAAGGCAACUCUCUGGUCUGUAACUGACGCUGAGGAGCGAAAGCGUGGGGAGCGAACAGGAUUAGAUACCCCUGUAGUCCCUGUCUCUUAUAC
rnacentral:rRNA from 1 species